rnacentral:rRNA from 1 species
UACGUAGGGGGCUAGCGUUGUCCGGAAUCAUUGGGCGUAAAGCGCACGUAGGCGGAUUGUUAAGUCGGGGGUGAAAUCCUGGAGCUCAACUCCAGAACUGCCUUCGAUACUGGCGAUCUCGAGUUCGGGAGAGGUGAGUGGAACUGCGAGUGUAGAGGUGAAAUUCGUAGAUAUUCGCAAGAACACCAGUGGCGAAGGCGGCUCACUGGCCCGAUACUGACGCUGAGGUGCGAAAGCGUGGGGAGCAAACAGG